rnacentral:lncRNA from 1 species
AGUGGCCUUAAUCACAGAAUUUUUAUUAUUUACUAAAGAUAGUAAGUAGGUAGAUAGAUAGUACAAGGGUUAUUGAGAGGCUCAAUUACAUCAGGAUUCCAUUACAUAAAGAGAUAUUUCUAUUUUCUUAGUCCAUUCCUCAUGGUUACAAAUGUUAGAGAGUCAUUGAUGUCUCAACGAGGAAGGAAUGGAAAGGAGCAUAGCUAUUGAGAUUUCUUAAGUGUGGUUCUUAUCAGAAAGUGUCCCCUCCUCAGAAGUCCCUUGGCAAACCUCCACUUACACUUCACUGACAAAAUUUUAUUACAAGGUCUAUUCCAGCUAUGCAUGACUAGGAAAACAUGUGUUUUGCAAAAAAAAAAAAAACUAGGAUACGCACAAUUAACGAAAAUGUAUCACACACUGGCCUUUGGGGCUGAUCAUGCUAUGGACCGAAUGUUUGUAUUCUCAUCCCCCAAAUUCAUAGGUUGAAAUCCUACCCCACAAUAUGAUGGUAUUAGGAGGUAGGGCCUUUGAGAAGUGAUUAGGCCAUGAGAAGAGAACCCUUCUAAAAGAAGACACCAGAGCUUGCUCUUGCUCUCUCUACUCUCUGCCAUGUGAGGAUACAAUGAGAAGAUGGCCAUUUGCAAACCAGGAAGCAUCCCUCACCAGACGCUGGAUCUGCCAGUCCCUUGAUGUUAUACUUUCCAGCCUCCCGACUGUGAGAAAUAGAUGUUUAUUGUUUAAGCCACCCAGUCUAUGGUAAUUUGUUAUAGAAGCCCAAAUUAAGACAUUAUCCCAAACAAAAUCAAAUAUCUUUGAGUGGGAAUCAGCUGGAGGAUGAUACUUGGGAGAAAAUUUGCAGAAUUCAUCCCAGGGCAUGCCUUAUUUUUACCUGGUACACUUAAGAAAGAAUAAAAUAUCAAGGAUUUGCAAGGCCUCCAUUACAGCACUUGUGGGCAAUAUAUUCAUAUCAGAACAAUUUUCUUUACAAUGAAAAGCAAAAGCAUUUAUUCCAUUAAUAAGCUUCACUAUUUCAUUUUUAUAAUUUUAAAAUACAUGUUUUCAGGAAUUUCUAAAAUGAUGUUUAGUUACUUCUUCGAAGAAUCCCCAGGGUAAUAUUCGUUUUCUAAGAUAAGUAGAAAUUAGCCUAGACUUAUAAGAAAUAGAUGAUGAUGCCUUAUAUUUAUGCAAUAACUUACAUAUUGCAAAGUACAUCUAUUUACAUUAUACCAUUUAAUCCAACAUAUGAGGUUAGUACUAUCAACUUCAUUUUACAUGUGAGGAAGUGAAAGUUUAAAAUAAAAACAUUUACAAAAUUGUCCUUUCUAUUAAGUGAUUUAUCAGGAUUUUGAACUAUGCCUCUGUUCUUUUCCAUCUUCACACUUUCAUGAUUCCAUGCAGAGUAAGCCAAUUGUUUUUCUACUUUUUAACAGUUGAUCUAUUCACUUCUGAAAGAAUUUGAGAUAAUUUGUUUCAAAUAAAUAUAAAGAAUAUGCAUUUUUUCUUAAUUUUAGGGGCACUCUUCACACCAUGAGUGUUGGAAUUACCCGUUAAUUCCUGAAAUGAUUACCAAAACCUUGUUCUGUCUAAGACACUGAAAUAGACAAGUACAGUCAAUCUUAUACUAGGAACCAAAAACUUAAAAUUAGAAUAAAAUAUGCAUACAGAUUUCUAUAGCAAUGAUUAGGAUACAUAGUAAAAUAUUAAAGAUUAUAUUUUACUGUUAAAAGAUAAACUGAAGCACAUUAAAAUACAAACAGUUUCUUUGAGCUAACAGCAAUUUAUAAAUCAGGCAAUUCCAGACCACAGGUGGUUGGGGGUUCCACCAACAGGAGUAUGAGUUACAGGCUUUUACAGGGUGAAUGUGGAAACAAGGCAAAGAAAAUAUUUCACUGGUUGAAGUGGAGCAGUGGCCUUAUUUGAAUCAUUCAAGUGGAAAGUUCCUAUUGAGAGCUUAUUUGGCAGCUUCUGACUGGUUAAGCUUAAGUUUUGUGUUACUAUUUCCAGUGAAUCAGGUUUCAACUUGCUUAGAUAGAACCCAGAGUGCUGGAGCUGCCUCAGCCUAAUGGCCUCUCAACCAAUUAUUUUAACAUAUUCCUUUAGCACUAUAUUAUUGGCAAGCCACUCACAGAUGUAGCUCACAUUUGAACUGUACACUAGCCCUCUCAGAUAGAUAUCAUUAUCAUCCCCAUUCUACAAAUGGGAAAACUGAGGCUAAAAGAGGUGAAAUAGAAGAGCCAGGAUAAGGCUCUGUGUCUUAAUCCAAAAUCACUUACUUUCCACCUUGCCCAUAUAAAUGAUCAAAAUGCACCAUAGAGGAAGAAUGAGAGCUUGUACUUUGGAAUUAGGCAGGAUCAGUUCUGAGUUCCAGUCACUAAGUAGCUAUGUGAAGUAAGGGUGUAAUCACAGUAUCUUCCAAAGCUGAGUCACAAAUGGCCAUUUGGCUUCCACCUAGUACUCUGUCUCUCUUUUUCUUUCUGUGUCUCUUUCUCCUCUCCUCUCUGCCUCUCCACCUGUGAUCCUGGAGUCUGGCUAACCUGAAGCAACUACGAUAAAGAGACCCUGACGUGAUGCCACAUAGAGACACAGACAGAUGCUUGAGGAGCCCCAGAUGUUGAGUCUUCUCAGUCCAGGUGUCAGGCUUGUGGGUGAGUGAGCCUUCAGAUGAUUCCAUUCCCCAGCCUUUUAGCCACCUUCCUCAGCCAAAGUUGAGUGGAGCAGAAAAGAGCUGUUCCCACCAAGCCCUGCUCAGACUGCAAAUUGAAAAGCAAAAUAAAUAUUUUUGUUUUAAACCACUAAACUUUUUCAGCUACACAUCCAUAAUAACUGGGGCAGUAUUGUAAACAGGGUAUGGGGAGGUUUAUUUCAAGAGCAGAUAUUGGAAUAGAGACCUGAAUGGCAUCAGGUAAGGAGUCAUUCAAAGAUUUAUAGAAUGUACUUUCCAGAAAGAAGGAAGAGCAAAUACGAAGGCCCUGAGGUAAGAAUGCACAUGGUGUUUUAAAGGAAUAACAUGUCAGCUGGUCUGGCUGAAAUGGAGUGAAAAUCAGAGAAAAGUAGCAGACAAGGUGGAACAGGAAACAGGUCAGAUAAGGGAGGGUCUUAUUGAUGGCAAACAGUUUAGGUUUGGGUAUUAAUGGGCUGGGAAACAAUUAGGAAAUAAUAAGGAAUAGGUUUGAUUUAAUUUAUGUUUGGAGAAAGAUCUCUCUGCCGUUCGUGUGAAAAAUAUUCUUCAAGGGCAACAGUCAAUGACAGAUGUCAUUUAGGAAGCCAAGGCAGAGAUUAGGAAGGGAAUGAUGGUGGCUUGGCUUGAGGUCUUAGCUAUGCAGUUGGGUGAGAAGUGAUUAUAUUCUGGAUAGAUUUUGAGGGCAGAGCCAAUAGGUUUGUGGAUGGAUCGAAUAGGAACAAAGAGGGAAGGCAAGGCUGGAAUUGUCAGGGCUCCCCUGCAUCGCCACACAAAGUGAAGUCUGCCUGCCAGCAGUGAGGGCAUCCCAGGCAAGCUUGCUGGAAAUGGCAAAUCUCAGGCCCCAUCUCAGUUGAAUCAGCAUUUGCAUUUUAACAAUGCACUCUGGUAAUUCACAUGUAGAUGAAAGUUUAUAAACACUGUUUUAGACACUUAAGGAGUAUCAAGUAAGAAGCUUGUUCUUCAAGUCUGACCUUAAGAGGGUCAGUCAGGAUAGGACAUUUUUAAAAAGCAAAAGAAAAUCAGGCUUUUAUGAAAAUUCUUGAGAUGGAUAAUACAAAUCCACAAAACUGUCUGUUGCCUAAUAAUAGAAAUACUAUUUUCUAUUACUAGAAGAAUCUACCAUAAUUCCUUCUGCUGAUUGUCACACCAUUUUUAAAGAAUUUAGAUUUUUCUUAAAAAGUAUAUUCAGAAUAUGUUUCUUAAAUUGCAUAUUUUUUCCUUUUGGGUUUGUCAUAAUAGCUCACAGUAUAAUUUUAUGAGACUCCACAGUUACGUUGAAUUUCCACAGUUAGGGGAUGAGUUUCAUUUUUACUAGAAACUAGUAAGCCAUCGGUAAAAUGUUCUAUUACCCUGCCUUGUUUUAACUCUUGAACUACACUUAACAGCCUUUUUGGUUCCCAACACAAGCUGAAAACUCUUCAUUCCACAACUGGGGCCAACUCAUCAGUUUUCUUUAAAAUAUAAGCUCCAUGCUAGAGGCCCUUAUCCUUAGCAAACUCACACAGGAACAGAAAACCAAAUACCACAUGUUCUCACUUAUAAGUGGGAGCUAAAUGAUGAGAACACAUGGACACAUAAAGGGGAACAACACACACUGAGGCCUAUCAGAGGCUGGAAGGUGAGAGGAGGGAGAGGAUGAGGCAAAAUAACUAAUAGGUACUAGGGCUUAAUACCUGGUUGGCAAAAUAAUUGGUACAACAAAACCCCAUGACAUAUGUUUACCUGUAUAACAAACCUGUACAUGUACUCCUGAACUUAAAAUAAAAGUUAAAUUAAAAAAUUAUAAUAUGAGCUGCAUAAUAAUAAUAAUAAAUGGUUUUCCCCAAACUCUUGUUCAUCGAAUCCCAGAUGUAUGAUAUUUAGGGCCUUAAACAAAGAUUUUUUUAAAAACUGCAUACAUUAAAAAAAAAAAAAUUUCUCAACAACACAAAGAACAUGGAAGUGCUCCAGUAAUUAUUUUGGAGACAAAAUUAUUCUUCAGGUUCCUGCAGUUCAUAGAUAAGAACAUUUUUAGAAGUUUUAUGCAAAGUUCAAGAUGACAAAAAAUGCAAAUUUCAGAUGGGUAUGUUCACUGUGAAGGUUGGAAGACAAGAUUAGAAAGAUCUUCUUAAAUUAGCCUUUUUUUCCCCCUAGCAGGUUACAUGCAAGUUGAAAGUGUUGAAUAUAAUGCAUUCCUAGAUAAAAUUUAAGACUUCUAAGGUUACAGAAAAUAGAUUCUAUAAACUAAACCCCAAAUGUGUAUUAUUUCUCCUAAGAUACAAUUGAACCAAACCAUAUCUGAUGACAAAAAUCCAAUUAUAGCAGUAAAGGUUGCUCUCAGUUAUUCCUUUCUUCAAGUGAAAGCAAAUGGUAAAAUGAAGUGAGCAGGAACCAACUGCCUUCAUAAAUACAUGGGCUUACAUUUGCUAUCAAUUUUUUGUUAGUGAAAGAAUGAAAAGGGUAAAAGUAUCUGGUGCAUUGCAAAUGCCAUUGAUAUAGAUUUUUGUAUUGUUUUAACGGGCCAGAGAAAGAAAAUAACUUUUUUCAUGAUAACAAGAUGUUCUCUAAGGAAGACAGCAUGGUGUAAUGGUUACGCGUCAAAGCUCUUGAGUAAAAGGGUCAGUGGUGACAAUCCUCACACUGGUGAGUUCUAUGACUUAUAGCAAAUUACGUAACCUUUCUGAGCCUCAGCUUCCUUUUUGGUAAAAUAGGGAUAAUAACAGUGUUACUGUCUAAAAAUGAAUUAGGAUUUAAUGAAAUACUGCAUAUAACCAUCAGAAAUAGCACUCAAUAAAUAUUAGCUAUUAAAAUCAGCUCAGCCUUUACCAAAUAUGUAUUCUUGGAAGGCUAAGUUUCAUUUUGCCUGAACCAGUAUUGCUUUUGGACUGGCUCAUUUAAGGCCUGGAAAAUUACAAAGAUGCCAUGAACACAAUUACAGCAACGCAUUCCCAGUUUCUACUUUAGAGAACAUGAGGGGUGAUGACAGAAAAGAAUUCUUUGCUGUUUCAAGAAUCCACUUAUGGAGAAAAUGAAACCGUGGUAAGCCCCUGAGUCUGAACUAUGCUGGUAAAUUCUGUUUUCUCUGUAACUUUUCUGUUUGAUCUUUCUAAUGAACCUAGUUUGUCUAAUCAGCAGAAUAGUCAUAGUUCCAAAGCAGUUCUUUUGUUGUUGAAAAUAGGCCCCAAUCAGAGGUGAGAACAAUGAAACAUUUAUCUUAUUAAGAUCACAAAAGAGGAGACUUUUAUGUUACAUGCUCUCUCUCUCUCUUUCUCUAUUCUUUAGUUCAAUAACUGAUUUAUUCAGCAUCCCAUUGCUGUCAGAAGUGAUGUCCCUGCUCCCAAGCUACCAGCUCCCUGCUUUGGCUCCUGGAUAUGGUUAGUGACCACCCGAUAGUGAGCAG